UGGGGGAUAUUGCACAAUGGGCGAAAGCCUGAUGCAGCGACGCCGCGUGGGGGAUGAAGGCUUUCGGGUUGUAAACCUCUUUCGCUAUCGAACAAGGCCCGCUUAGGGUGGGUUGAGGGUAGGUGGAGAAGAAGCGCCGGCUAACUACGUGCCAGCAGCCGCGGUAAUACGUAGGGCGCGAGCGUUGUCCGGAAUUAUUGGGCGUAAAGGGCUUGUAGGCGGCUUGUUGCGCCUGCUGUGAAAACGCGGGGCUUAACUUCGCGCGUGCAGUGGGUACGGGCAGGCUUGAGUGUGGUAGGGGUGACUGGAAUUCCAGGUGUAGCGGUGGAAUGCGCAGAUAUCUGGAGGAAUACCGGUGGCGAAGGCGGCCCCCUGGACGAAGACUGACGCUCAGGUGCGAAAGCGUGGGGAGCAAACAGG
rnacentral:rRNA from 1 species